UUCAGGAAGCCUGCCUCUCCUCCCACUUCGCCCCUUCUCUCCGCGCAGCAUUAUGCUCUGUUGGUGGCUCUGGGCUUUGCAAAAUGUCGCGAUAUUCCCGCCCCCAGCCCCGGCCUGACCCCCGCGCCCCCAUCCACCCUGGGCCUGGCUCCCCCUCACCUCAGCAGGAAUGGGCUCCCGACCCACUCAGCCCGAGGCGGGGGCCCUGAGGCUCAGCCCGGCGCCCAGGCUGGGUUUCGCUUUGCCCCCUUGCUUGGCGGGGCUGCCUGCACAUCCCCGCCCCGUCUGUGUCCCGGGCAUCCCGCCAGCUCCCACCACCUCCACCGCGCCCCCGGUGCCGCCGGUGUCCCCCUGCCGGAUGCCCCGCCUUCCACCACGCGGGCCUGGCCCUCAUGUCGACGGGCAGACCUCUGCCCGCACACCUCCGGGUCUCAUCUCUCAUCCCCGCACCAUGGACGGACGUCUGGUAGGUCAGCUGGGGGUCAGGGAAGUUGCUCCAGUGGCCUCCCAGUUUGCCAGGCAGCCAGGGAACAGUGGUUUGAGACCUCCGUGGGAAAUGUCCUGUGCCCUAAACCCUGACAAAAGGUGACGGGAGAAUUAUGGUAACCUCGGUGUCUGUUAUUACUAAUGAUACACGAGCGAGCCGUUCAGGAACACCAUGCCAGUACACCAUCGAAGACGGGAAGGAGGAGCAGGAAGCGUGAGCGACAGCGGAGCGGGAUGCAGUGCGGAGCGGGAUGCAGCAGCAGGGCUGUUAGGGUCACUAUCAGAAGCUUAAGUAAGUGUCCAUCUGGGUGUGAAGGAGCGCCUGGAAAGCCAUGUAGGGCUCACUGCCGAUCCAUACAGGGGUCUACAGUCUAAGGUGGAGAACUCUUACACCGUCCGAAGGGCACACAGAGUGGAUGGAUUCAGUAAGAUUCAGGUCAGGUCAGCAAAGCCUUCUCCCAUCCGCCGUGUUCUCCUAGACUCCGAUGGUCCCCGACACGAUCUCCCAGGGAUGGGGGGCCUGGUGCUAGGGCCUCAGGUCACAUCUCUGUUCCCGUGGAGUUUGUACAGGUCCCGGGUUACCCUGCUUGUGUGCGUCUCUCCCCUCCAACCAGACUGUAAGCUUUGAGAAGGCUGGAACCAUCUCAGAUGCCUUAAACCACAGCCACCGCCAACGCUGAGUGCUGCGUUGUGCCAGGCACAUAGGAAGCUCCAUGAUGCUCGGCACAGCGUGACACACAUACCAGUUCUUAAUAAAUAUUGAUUGAGUAAAAAUAUGGAACCUAAU
rnacentral:lncRNA from 1 species